rnacentral:rRNA from 1 species
AUUGAACGCUGGCGGCAGGCCUAACACAUGCAAGUCGAGCGAGCGGCGGGCGGGUGAGUAAUGCCUGGGAAUUGCCCAGUCGAGGGGGAUAACAGUUGGAAACGACAGCUAAUACCGCAUACGAUUGGAAUGCCCAGGUGGGCUUAUCAAGUUGGUUAGGUAAUGGCUCACCAAGGCGACGAUCCCUAGCCGGUCGGAGAGGAUGAUCAGCCACACUGGAACGGAGACACGGUCCAGACUCCUACGGGAGGCAGCAGGGGGGAAUAUUGCACAAUGGGGGAAACCCUGAUGCAGCAAUGCCGCGUGUGUGAAGAAGGCCUUCGGGUUGUAAAGCACUUUCAGCUAGGAGGCGUUACUCGCAGAAGAAGCACCGGCUAACUCCGUGCCAGCAGCCGCGGUAAUUC